GUUAGUCCCUGUUUCACCCAGCCCUCCGUCACUCAAUUGAAAUCAGAGUGGUGUAUGAAUGGAACACUUUGUUGCUGGAAUGGUGGGUGGGUGGAAGAUGGUGCGCGGGGAAAGGGAAUGGUUUGUGGGUGGGUGGAAUAUUAUAGGGGGAGGGCUGGUGGAUGGGUAUAGGUUCAAAGUUCUUAAAGGGAGAAAUGAUGGAUGGUUGAAGGUGGAGAGUCUUGAGGAGAGGAGUUGUGGGUAGAGGUUGAGUGGACGUUCAUGAGGGAAAGGGCGUCGUGAAGUAAGGAGAUGAAGACAAAGGUUCAAGCCGGGCUCCCAUCUGGCUCGCUUCCUCUCCUCCCGCGCCCUAACUCUCCCUCCAGCCCACUAAUCACGACCUUCUUCAACAUGCACAGGCACCACUAGGCCGCAAACUACCUAAACCAAGGCGAGAGGGACCGGUUUCUCUACGUAAUUCACGCAGUUAAUCUAGAUAGCUGUCAUUUGCGGCCUCGUCCAUUUUUGUUAACCUCCUGGCAUCAUGUAAAUUGGCAGCCACGGAGAAGUGUGAGGCCGCAUCGGCGAGGCCAUCUAGAGCGGGACCAUUGGCGAGGCGCUUGAUGAGGUGUUAGUGAGCUGCGUGGCGGGGACUCAAGGAGGAGCUGGAGGAGGAGUUGGAGGAGGAAGGAGAAGAGAGGAGAGAGGGGGAGAGGUUGUAGGCCAGCAAUUGUAAUAGCUCCACUUCUUGACGUCUUCUCUACUCGUUUUAUUACAGCUCUAGAUCCCCGCGGCCGCUCAUUAUAUCGCAUCGGCCGAAGAAUGACUCCAUCGUAAAGGUCUCGUUUGCUUGGUCGGGUUCUGCGUCUUGUGUUGGUCUCACUCUGCGGGUCAGCCAACGCUCUGGGGACGAACACUUCCAAGAGACAUACUAUGCGCAUAUCACAGAGUCGGGCCUGUGCAGUGACCUGCCUCAGAGCAUUCCCUUGCAAGCCUCGUUAAGCGUGACUAUCAGCCGCCGAACAGAGACAACAACAAGCCUUCCGCUACUGUAGAGGUCAGCCUGUAAGCAGCACUAAACAACAAUGCCAAGGUGUAAUUCAGCCCCGAUAACCUUGCUCCCGCCCCCCGCCUCCGAUGUGCUGGGGAGUCGUCCUUUGUUGCGUUUGUGUAUACAUAUGCCCGAUCGUGUAGUGACCUCUAUAGCUAUUCAAACCCUUGAAGACCAGUUUAGUAUGUGUGUAUGUUCCUCCACAGCGUGGGUAAUUAGUAAACGUUGAUUUAGACUUCAAUCAAACCAUAAUCAAGCUUGUGACAUGUUCAGUCAAACAUGGA